UACAGAGGCCCCAAGCGUUACCCGGAAUCACUGGGCGUAAAGGAUGCGUAGGUGGCUGUGUUAGUCCCUCGUGAAAUCUUUCGGCUCAACCGAAAGAAUGCCGGGGGAAACGGCACAGCUAGAGGACGUAAGAGGUAUGCGGAACUCACGGUGUAGGGGUAAAAUCCGUUGAUAUCGUGGGGAACACCAUAGGCGAAGGCGGCAUACUGGGACGUUCCUGACACUGAGGCAUGAAAGCGUAGGUAGCGAACGGG
rnacentral:misc_RNA from 1 species